rnacentral:tRNA from 1 species
GGCCAUGUAGUACAAUGGAUAGUAUAAGAGUUUCCGAAGCUCCAGAUCCAAGUUCGAUUCUUGGCAUAGCCA